CACCCAUGAUCUGGGUUCGCCCUUCCACCGUUCACAUAAGGCUGACGGCCAACGGAGCCGGCCUUUUUCCCCGCAAUCCCAAACACUCCGAGACGCAUGGCAGCCGCUUGCGGCGGAGACAAUGGAGCGAGCAGCACCGCCUCCGCUGGCAGUGGCGGCGGAAGGAGGUGGGAGAACCUGAACCGUGACCUCCUCGUAGCGAUCUUCGAGAGGGUAGGGGUGGCGGACCUCAUCGCCGGCGUCCCCUUCGUCUGUUGCUCGUGGCGCGACGCCUCUUGCGACCCUCUCUGCUGGCGGAACCUCGACUUCCGCGACUGGGACUCCAUAUCCCUCCACCUCGAUUGCCAACGCGACGAGAUCCUCGACUUCGCCGGCCUUCUCGAUUUUUCCGUCAGCCGCGCGCGCGAGCACCUCGACUCCAUUUAUUUCCCUGACUUCGCCGACGAUAUCGAUCUCCUCGACGUCUCCAAAAGGUGUCCAGGGUUGACUUAUUUCAGCCUCCCAAAUCCGCAUGUAAUGGAGCAUAAAUUCUGUGAGGCUGUCGGCAAACUUGAGUUUCUCAAGGGCAUGGCAGUGGACGAGACUGUCGUCAGUCGCAAAGUUCUUCAACAUGUUAACCAGUGCUGUAAAUACUUCGCCGAGCUGGGCGUGUUUGCUGAGAAUGUGGAUGAAGAGAAGGCAUCCAUCAUCUGCAAAUCUCUCCCGGACCUCCGGAAACUUGAGAUAACGAGUUCUGCUAUCUCAAGGCAGGCCAUAAUUAGUUUUCUAGAUGAGUUGAAGGCGCUGGAGCACCUUGACAUUUCUGGGUAUGAGAAUUCUGGUAUCACUGAUGCAGUCCUCGAGAAGGCUUCACGUCUGAAGGUUUUCCUGUGGGACUCGAGAUUUGAGUUAGGUGAGUUCAUGGACUGUUCAAAUGAUGAGGAGGAUGACUGGCUCCUUCAGAGGCCUUGUGAGUGCAUGCUGGAUCGCAAGGUCAUGGAAUGGUUGGCAGAGCUUUCUUGAGAUGUGUUUAUGCAAGUUGCAAAUGGAUUCUUUGUAAAUUGCAGGUAUGAAUUAUUGAGAAGAUCAUUUUAUCAUUUCAAGUUAGAAGAUGAAAUUGCUUUGCACUUUUUAUUGUAUUUUGGUGUAUAUAUUUUGUUUGGAAUUUUCUUUUUGCUUCAUUUUUAUAGCAGACUCCAGAUUGGAACUCUAGCCCUCUUGAAGGGCAAAAAUUUAGAGGUAGCUGGAUGGAUUUCUCCAGUAAAAUCUAUGGAUCCAUGGCCUUCUGGGUAUCAAGAAAUGGAGCAUGUAUUGCUUGAAUUGUGGAAGUUGGCAGAGGAAUAAAAGCUUCAGACGCUGUGUAGGUCGAACGUUAGCUCACCUAGAAGAAUUUCACUUUCCAGUCCAUGUUGGGUACUGAUGAGUUAAACCAUGUUGAGACUUCAGGAAUUUGUUUUGGUGCAGUCACAGAGAGCUGGGAAAUAACACUUCGAAGUAAUGAUCGGAGAAUUCAGAAUCAGGUGCUCUGGUUUUCUCGUCUCUCAAUUUAUUCUUUGUUUUCCCCUAAGAAAAAAAUGAUUUUCUGUCAGUGCAUCAGCAGAUCUUAAGAGCCCUACAUUAGAGGGAUAAAUGCAGUAAUAUAUAGAGCUCCCAUGUUUGGCUUGAGAUCACUUUUAUCAACCUUUUUUGUGAACCGA